UCUAAGCCGUGGUCCCGGGGCUGUUGAGUUGCUUGUCAGGGACCUGACUGGGUAAAGACCAUCUUCUCAUGUGCAGGAGGGGAUUUCGUCCAUCUUUUUGUUCAUCCAUCACCCGUCCAUCCAUCCAUCUUGUCACUCCUGUGCUCAUCUUUUUAUCUGUCCGUCUUUUCAUUCCUCCAUUUUUCAUCCAUAUAUUCAUUCACUACUUGUAUACGUUCAUUGCUUUUCAUCUGUUCAUUUGUGGAUGCAUCGAGUCAUUGUCUUUUCAUUGAUUUUUCAUCCAUCCCUCUCUUCACCCCUUCAUCUUUUCAUUCAUCCCGUCUUUUCAUUCCUCCACUUUUCAUCCAUCUCUUCACUCAUGGUCCUCUUCUCAUCUGGUCCUCUGUUCGCCUAUCCCUUUUUUUCAUUCAUUCUUCCUCCGUCAGUCUUUUCGCUCCUCCGUGUCUCGUUCUGUUUGUUUUCUCCACAAGGUGCAGUGGGACUCCUAAGCUUUUAUGUCGUCCUCAAGCCUCCACACGUGGACGCCUCCCCAGUGCUACCACUCUCCCCCCCAAGCGACUGCUCACCCGCAGGCUUCCUUGCUUCCUUUUUGUUUCUGUCAGGACUGGGGCUUGAACUCAGGGCCCCUCACUUUCCUUUAACCUUUCCUGCACAGGCUGACACUUUACCACCGGAACCACAGCUCUGCUUCCGGCUUUUGGGUGCCUGAUUGCAGAUAAGUUUCCCCAGGCUCUCCUGCCUGGGCUGGCCGCAGACCUCCAUCCUCAGAUCUCAGCCUCCCGAGUUGCUGGGAUGACAGGCGUGAGCCCUGGCGCCUGAUCAGCAAUCCCAACUUUUCAAUCUGGAUUUUUCUCAGGCAACAGGUUCUGGUGUCUCUCCCCUUCACAGUGAAUGAAUCUUGCUAUAGCCAUGCUUUCGACAGGUGGAGGCCGGGGUGGCUGAGCACCUGGGGCAGAAAGCUUCACCGAGGAGGAGGUGAGGCUCUAGCUGGCAGCCCGCAGGCCGGAGAAGCUCACAUCCAGAUGCUUGCUGAUGGCCUCCCGCUGACUGGCUAUGACCCACCCCAGCGAGGGCAGAUGACUCUGCUGACGUAAAAGCAUAUUCUACGACGUAAGAUGUGUACGUUCAGGGCUGGGCCCGUCAAAGCUGUCCAACAGCCCCAGUGAACCGCAGACCUCAGACUUCUGAUAAACAGGGAUUACAGAGGUCCACAGAGAUGAUUUUGGCAGCUUAUAAAUUCUGAUGACGAGCCAGGCAAGUGGCUUACUCCUGGAAGCCCAGCUACACAGACGGCUGAGAUCUGAGGACUGCAGUUCAAAGUCAAGACUCAGCGGGAAAGUCUGCGAGACUCUCAUCUCCAGUGAACCAGCAAAAAGCUGGAAGUGGAGCUGUGGCUCAACUGGCUGAACCCAGCCUUGAGUGAAAAAUGGUAAGGGACAGCGCGCCCAGCUCUGACUUCAAGUCCCAGCACUGGCACAGGAAAAAAGAAAAGAGAACUGUGACGGGAAACUCAGGAUUCGUGAUAGGAGGAUGCGUGUGGUUUUCCUUAGCAUGAUUCCUCUACUUGAGUCCAUCUAACUCACGGUAACUGACGGACAUACGGCACUCCAAGAUUUCUUGGCAAUUUCUAACUGUGAAGUUUGACAUACCUCUGAUUUAACAUCUGGAUGUCAAGGGAAUGCCAUUGACUUUUAUAAAGCGUUUUGGUGUUUUUUCUUUGUGAAUAAGGUCUCAAAUUCUCUGAAAAGCCAUAAAAUGAGUUAUAUAGGAUGCAUGGGACCCUAAAAAUAAGGCAUAUCGUGGGUAUACGUCGCUCAUCACAAAAGCUAUAAAGUACUCUGAGUUUGAAUUAGCUCCUUUUUUUACAUAUAUAUAGAUAUGAAAUAACUACUACAAAUCAAGAGCAGGUGGUUACAGGCAAUAGUUAUUUAUGUAAAAAUUAUUAAUCUCUCAGUUCUUUGCAAAGCAGCUCAACGGCCAAAUCAGUAACUCUAGAACCUCAAAAGGAUUGUAUUUUCAGACCACUAUCUGGAUGAGAAAAAGGCCACAAGGUAUGACUUUCCAUUUUCUAGAAGCUUCUCUAUAUAUUCCCUAGCCAUUCUUAACAAUUUUUCAUAGGAAAUCUAAAUUAAGCAGCAUACAUACCCAGCAUUCAAUGAAGCCAAAACAAAGUCAAAUAUGUUCAAAUGCCCAUAGCUGCCUUCCAUGCAUAAGAUAUUUCUCUCUUUAUAGUUGCCAGGGCAUUACUCUAUAGAUCUACAUUUAUUUCAUGGCAUGUAAUUAAUAGAAAACGUGAAUUUUCUUCAGAACUUGAACAUUUUAGAUACAUAUCUUAAUUAUCAGUACCAAAUCUGAUCAGAGGGAUGGAGCAAUGGCUGAGAGCUAUCUGGCAAAAGGUGUCUAAAUGUUAUUUGUGAAUGUUACCUAAGUCAUCAUUUUUGGUUUUAUAAAUAAAAUGAUAUAUGUAUAAGUAGCGAUCACUGUCUUUUAUAAAAGUCAACUUAAAAACAUACUCUUGACUUCUAUCAAAAAGAGAGUAUCUAAAUCUAAUCUCCCCUUUGUCUCACUGACCAGAGAAAACACACUUGUUGGUAAUAUAAAUUAUUUGCAAGCCAUUACUUACUUGGGGUGUCUAUAC